UUAGCUCAUAUUUGUGUAUGGAGUUGGAUCGUUUGCGUACGUUUGCCGCUAGGGGCGCUGUUCCAACUGCAUACAAAAUUGGCUUA
rnacentral:pre_miRNA from 1 species